rnacentral:rRNA from 1 species
GCUAACGCUGGCGGCGUGCCUAUACAUGCAGUCGAGCGAAUGGAUUAAGAGCUUGCUCUUAUGAAGUUAGCGGCGGACGGGUGAGUAACACGUGGGUAACCUGCCCAUAAGACUGGGAUAACUCCGGGAAACCGGGGCUAAUACCGGAUAACAUUUUGAACCGCAUGGUUCGAAAUUGAAAGGCGGCUUCGGCUGUCACUUAUGGAUGGACCCGCGUCGCAUUAGCUAGUUGGUGAGGUAACGGCUCACCAAGGCAACGAUGCGUAGCCGACCUGAGAGGGUGAUCGGCCACACUGGGACUGAGACACGGCCCAGACUACUACGGGAGGCAGCAGUAGGGAAUCUUCCGCAAUGGACGAAAGUCUGACGGAGCAACGCCGCGUGAGUGAUGAAGGCUUUCGGGUCGUAAAACUCUGUUGUUAGGGAAGAACAAGUGCUAGUUGAAUAAGCUGGCACCUUGACGGUACCUAACCAGAAAGCCACGGCUAACUACGUGCCAGCAGCCGCGGUAAUACGUAGGUGGCAAGCGUUAUCCGGAAUUAUUGGGCGUAAAGCGCGCGCAGGUGGUUUCUUAAGUCUGAUGUGAAAGCCCACGGCUCAACCGUGGAGGGUCAUUGGAAACUGGGAGACUUGAGUGCAGAAGAGGAAAGUGGAAUUCCAUGUGUAGCGGUGAAAUGCGUAGAGAUAUGGAGGAACACCAGUGGCGAAGGCGACUUUCUGGUCUGUAACUGACACUGAGGCGCGAAAGCGUGGGGGAGCAAACAGGAUUAGAUACCUGGUAGUCCACGCCGUAAACGAUGAUGCUAAGUGUUAGAGGGUUUCCGCCCUUUAAGUGCUGAAGUUAACGC